CAUCAUUGACAGCGGUGUUGCCACUCAAAUCAAGCGCACGCAAACUUGUACACCACUGGGAUACAAAUGUGAUAAGUAACAUUAGGAUUCUAUGUAAGCUUUCUAAAGGUUGGUUCUCACUAGGACGCAAGCGCAAACGGUAGCGCAACACAAGUGAGAAUCGGUCAAAAACAAGCGUAAGCGCAAGAAAAUCAAGCAGUUGCGUUCUCUUGCGCUUAUGUUCUAGUGAGAAUCGAAAAAACUACGUGCGUUCCGCUUGCGCUUACGUCCAAGUGAGGACCAACCUUAACUUGUAUUCAUUGCAUUAUUUUCAGAGCGAGAUUUUUCAGCUACGAUAGCGUGGGGAGGCCCUUGGUUCGGCACCUUUCAAAUUGAGAGUAGAGUUGAAUGAGUCCGUCUGUUGCAAGGGGAUGCACAAUAGCCACUUUGACAGUUUUGUUAAAAUAACCUCUGAUUAUAGCUAGGGUGAGUUUUACCUUGGUCAUGGCGGUCUGGACCAGGACAAGACUAGCAUCGGUGCUGCCAAGGUAGAGGCUCUCAAGAGAAGAUGCACACAGGGUCUACAUAAAAAGAUUGAAGAUAUUCUAACACCAUUAUAACAAAACUAUUAAUUUUUCAUUACAUUUGGAAAGACACCUACCAACAAUAAGGUUGCAGUUGAGAACCCGUGUGUCGAAGCCUGGAAUUGCUCAUGGGUUACGUAUGAAUUGCUGAAUCCUGUUCUUUAAAAACCAUGUGAAUAUUUAGAUAACCUGGAUUUUUUUUUAGUUACGCUUGUAUGCUUAAUAUUAGAUAACCGUGGUGCAUUGCGGCUUACGACACAUGGAUUCUCAAGUGCAACCUUAUUUUCAAUAGGUGUAUACGAUCUUGAUUUCUAAGAUAAUGAGCAGAGCAAGGCACAUCUCCGUCCUUGUUGUCGCCUUUGUACCAGUACGAAAGCAGCAGGCAUGGUGUACACUGGUGACAUAACGAGGUGUACUGUAUUUACGUUUAUGUGUGUACUGUACAUCCGCGACAUAACAACAUCGACAUAAAACAGUGCCAUAACGACAUGUUUAUUCUCUUAUGUAUGUCGUUACAUAUGUUGUUAUGUCGUUACGCUGCCGAUGUGCAUCACGCUUUAAUGCCAGUUGGAACAUACGUCGAUAGCUGUGGCGGUAAUACGACUGCAGCCUCGUAGGUCAAGGACUUUAAGGUGGUUUGAUGAGCUCAGCAUCCUAAACAAAGAUGGUUGAGUACUUUGGGGGUUUAGGGCAAGUGCAAUAGGGAGUGGGUAGCCAGGGUGUGGUAAGGGAAAGGAGCAAACAAACGUCUCAGUCAAUCAUUCCUUUUUUUCAAAAUGAAUUGAAAGGGGGGGGUCUAGAAUAAAAAUUACAAAUCACUUUUUUUACAUGGACGUAGAUAAUGACAUAAUUUAAAAAAAAGUUCCUGAAUCAUAUGUACUGUAGCAUAUCCUACCGUAUAUUCAUAUGCAAGUCAUAUAAGAAAUACAGUUAAUAUUAUGUUGAGAUAUUAAUUUGCGCUUUUUCAAAUCUCUUUUUCAGACAUAAGGAC